UUGAGAAAUGCAGUGGCCCUGGAGACUAGAAAAUCCAAGAUGGAGGAACCAGCAUCUGUCAAUGAACCCGCUCCGGAAGUGAUGCCUCUGGAAGUGACGUCAUAAUGAUGCCCCGGAAGUGACGUCGUUAAUCCUGCCACCCCCGAUGCGGUUGCCAGGGGAUUGGGUUUCCAACACGUGAAGGUCAAGGCUCGCAUCAAACCACGGCAAUGUCAGGCCAAUGUGGGCGACAGACACCCGCUCUCCAGAACAGAGUUCUUUUGGGGGGACAGCAAGGGAUUGCCAUCUGGAAUAUGCAAGCCCCGGUGGGCCCCAGGAGGGUCCGAGGAGGCCGGGGCAAGAUCGAGAGGACAAGUUCAUGCGUGUUGUUUGGAGAUCCUUCUCACUGGCUCCGCGGCGGGAGUCGGCGGUCACUCGCGAAGCGGCUGUCGCUGGGGAGACGGCUCUAUCCAAGUAGAAGUGACUUAUUUGGAAUGCUGGGAAUGGUUUCGUGGGUUUUCAAGAGCCCCUGCAAGGCGUAUGAAUUCUUGGCUUCAAAUUUCCUGGAGAUAAACUUCUGGUUUCUAAAAGAAGAAGCUGGGAAGAAAGAUGGGAGGAAGGGGCGGUCUGCUCCCUUCUGGCUCCCCUUCCUCACACCCCCCCCCCCAAGCAAGCUUCUAGAAGGUUCCGUGGUUCCUGAGCUUCAGCCUUCACCUCCAGAGCCAGGCGGCUGACCCAACAAACCGACAUCUUGUAAGGGAACAGCUGGUGGAGAAAAAACACCCAGGAGGAACCGCUGCUGGCUGGUAGGAAGCAGACAGGUCUGGGAAGACAAGUGGCUCUAAGCGGCAGUGACAGUUGGCGUUUGCAGAGGGAAGCAAGCAAGCAGCUGCAGACAGGAGAGCACAGCUGGCUUGAUUUAGGAAUAACAAAUCCAGCCCUGUCUCUUGCAGCUUGUCUGCCCUCCGUAAACACAGACCGAGCAAUCCACAGACGCAGGUUCAAAUUACCCGGGCGUUCCAGAGCGCAGCAUGGGGGCCUCUAGGGAGAAGUUGGGAACAGUAACUGGAUGGAGAGAAGGGGAGCCCAGGACCACCCUGUCCCUCUUGCCACGGGCGGUGCACGGAGAAGACAGAAGAGCACCGGGGUUGGGUGAUAGUUUGGGAGAGCGGGAGGACAGACCCCCCUCCUUUUCCAGAACCUUCUGGAGGAACGAUUCCGCCUAGCGCCUUUGCUCUUCCACACUGCCUCGUUAAGAUGCUUGUUUUGACAGCUUCUGCCAAAGGCAUCCUGGAAAUCCACUCCCACAUUUGUUUGGCUUGGGGUUUUCAUCUCCCAGUGGGGUGCAGAGAGGGGUGGGGCUGGACCUCAGCCAGGACAUCCUCUUCGAGGGACAAGCAGCCACGUGGAGCCGCUGGAAGAGCCCUUCCUCGUGGCAGGAGCGUUCUCAGGUCCCCACGUUCCACCUGCUCCCAAGGCCCCACACUGGCCUUGGAACGCUCCCACCCCCACCCCCAGCCCUGCAGCUCUGAGUGAGGCUGGCAGGAGCCCAGGAAUCGCCCCUUGCAGUGUCCGGAGCACCACGUGGCUAUGGAGGUUUAUCGCCAGCUGUUAGCCCAGCUUUGCUGGGUACAGCCUAAGGCUAUUAACUCCCUAUCUUGUCUUCAUCACGAGCUAAAUGAAAGCAUCCUCCGCCACGCUUCCUCCCUCUCUCACCUCUUGCUCACCCCACGUAGCUGGCCUCUUGGUCGUUUCCAGGAAUGUCUUUCCCGGCUUCCUUCAAAGCACUUGGGUCUCGAGGGCAUCCCAGGGAGUCUGCCUGGAGACAGAUCCUCAGCCAUGAAGGGUGGCUGGCUCCCGCCAUGGCCUGUACAAGUUUUCAGGGCCACCUUGAGGUCCCCGUUCCAAUCCUAAGAGAAGUUUUCCCACCUCGGGAGCCCCCUCCUUGAACAGCAAGAGGGGUCACCAGGGACAAAUCGCAAAACAGAAUGCUGGGAGCGUCCAGGCAUGGAACCAGCCAUGAGCACGCUAGGUGCCCAGGAUUGGAGAGCAGAAGGGAGGGCCCCAAACCCAGGAGACAGAGCAGCCAGGGCUGCAGGUCCACGUCUGAUGUCCCCUUCCUCUGAGGAAGCAGGAGGGGACAGGAGGGGACUUGGGGGCCUCCUUGUGCUGGGUAAGAAAAGGGUCCUUCCAGUGUCAUCUCCCGAGGCCAAGGAGAAAGAAGAGCAGUCGCUUCCAACUUUUGUGGUGACACAUUUUCUCCUAAUCCCCUCAGCCAGCUUCUCCUGUAGGCUCACAGCCCAAACCAAGGUCACCAGUUCCCAAACGGUGCCCCUGGCAGGUGCCUGGCGCUGCUGAUUGGGGAGGCACGGUGGAAGGGCCCAAUAGCCAGUUCUGGUUACCUGUGAGGGGAAAGAAGGCAGGGGGAGAGAGCGCCUCCCUGGGAAGCAGUGUGCCAGGGUUUGUGUAGCAAGAGCGAGGGGGAGGCACCCGGGGAGGUGGAGUGGGAGGGCACCCCCUGCUCAAGCCAACUUCACCUUCAUACACGGAACGGCAGUGGCGGGGGGGGAGGAUGACUCCAACUCAGGGUGGGGGGGCCUCCUGCAGCUUCACUGGCCAGCUGGUGGUCUCACCCCCCCUCUGAGCGCCAUUAUGACAGAGCCUUCCUGGGACUGGCAUCGUGGCCCAGCAGGUUAAGCCGCUGCCUGUGACGCCUGCCUCCCCUACGAGUCCCGGUUCGUGACCCGGCUCCUCCACUUCCGAUCCAGCUCCCUGCUGAUGUGCAUGGGAAAACAGCGGAAGACGGCCCGAGUGCUUGGGCCCCUGCACCCAUGUGGAAGAGCCAGAUGGAGUUCCAGGUUUCUGGCUCCAGUCUGAUCCAAAUCUGGCUGUCGCAGGCAUUUAGGGAGUGAAUCAGUGGAUGGAAGCUCGCUCUCUCGCUCUCUCUCUCUCUCUCUCUCUCUGUCACUCUGCCUUUUUUCAUUGAAGAGAGAUCCCCCCAGAAUCUACGUGCACCCAGAACCUCAGACACUGACCACACGUGGAAAGGUGGGCAGACACCGUCAUGGAAGGAGACAGGAUCGUGCUGGGGGGGCAGGCCCAGAACUGGAGCAAGGACCCCUCCCCCAGAGAGACCCAGACAAAGGUCACGGGGACCCAGAAGUAGGCAGAUUGAGGAGGGUGGGGUGUUGCUGGGGCAAGGGAGGGCGCUCCCCGGAGCCUUUGGAGGGAACACCAUGCUGUAGGCACAUGGACUUCCAUCUUCCAGAAUAGAGCACCGUGAAAAUGCACAUUUGCACGGCUGUGAGUCCCCAGGUCGGAGGUGAUUAGCCCAGCAGCCCUGAUGAUAAACUCACAUGCCCUCUCUCCCUCCACCUGCCCCCCGACACACACACACACACACACACACACACAAAGCCACCUCCAACAUGUGCACGUGCAAGACGCCAGCAGUCUCUCUCAGAAGACCUGGGCGCCUGGGUGAUCCCCCAGGUCGCCCAACCUCUGAGCCUCACCCAUUCGGUCUGGAUGUGAAAUAGGCACAGCUCCAUACUUCCUGCAGUUCUUUUUUUUUAAGAUGUUUAUUUAUUUAUUUGAGAGGCAGACAGAGAGAGGGAGAGACAGAGAGAAAGGUGUUGCAUUCACUGGUUCACUCCCACGACAGAUGGAGCUGGGCCGAUCUGAAGCCAGGAGCCUGGAGCUUCCUCCAGGUCUCCCAAGUGGGUGCAGGGGCCCAAGCAUUUGGACCAUCUUCCACUGCUUUCCCAGGCCAGAGCAGAGAGCUGGAUCAGAAGAGGAGCAGCCGGGACUUGAACUGGUGCUCAUAUGGGAUGCCGGCACUGCAGGCAGAGGCUUAGCCUACAGAGCCACAGCGCCAGCCCUCGGCAUUUCUGAGAGCUGAAAUUCUCCCCUCCAGGAGACAGCCUCGGACAGGUGCAGGCAGAGGCUCCUCCUUAAACGACCUUGGCCUUCCUCGGUAGCCGGAGCCUAGACAGGGGCACUGGGAAGCUUCCUCUUCUUCUAAGGCAUAUGGCCGCCACGGGGGAGCUGCUGGAGCCGGAGCAGGCUCUGGAAAGCAAGCCAGUCUCCAUUCAUUUAGCAAAAGCAUUCUUUACCACCUUGUUGCAUGCUCACGGUGAUAUCCAAAAGCUGUACCUGACCAACACCUCUUAAAGGAAAGGAGCUGUUGUCUUUAGGACUUGGGACGCAUGGCACCAGAAAAAAAUGCCAGGGCAGAAGCCAAAUGGAGCCACGCGAAGGCUUGCUAUGCAACUUGAUUUUUCCAAGAACCAAGUCCCCCAAUGAAGAGCUCAGUUCCAGACACGCUUUAACUUAGUGGAUACAUGGGGCCGGUGCUGUGCCAAAGUGGGUUUGGCCUCUACCCAUAUGGGUGCCAGUUCGAGUCCCGGCUGCUCCACUCUGGUCCAGCUCUCUGCUAUAGCCUGGGAAAGCAGUGGAAGAUGGCCCAAGUCCUUGGGCCCCUGCACCCACGUGGGAGACCCAGAAGAAGCUCCUGGCUCCUGGCUUCAGCCCAGCUCUGGCCAUUGCAGCCAUCUGAGAGCUGGAAGCCAGAGACAUUAAGCAUCACCCUCUUUGGUUAGAAGCAAAGGUCAAGGUCCCAACCGCUGCGGUUCCUUGCCCAGGUACGGAGGGAACUGGAGACUGGAAAGAGCCUGGUCCCCACCCCCUGGGAGCGUCCCUCCCUCCUCAGCCACCCACUUCUGGCUUCCCAUGCACACCUGGCGGAGUGCGCCGAUGCCCGGUGCCCCACGAACCAACACAGAGAAGCUGCCUGCUCCUGCCUUCCAAACCACGAAAGCUCAAUUUGCAAGAUUCUUUUUUUUGUUGUUGUUCAGCUCUUCAAAGACAAAAAACACCCACUAUUUCCCAUCUGAUCCAAGACCGCAGGAUUGUUUUUAAUUCCAUUCAUCAGUAUCUCAUUCACCCCAAGAGACGAGGGGAUGUUUCCAUAUUUACAUAACCGGGCUCAUCAGUUUAAGGUCCUGGGUCCCUCCCUCACAUGGUGGCAAUUCCAGUCCCUGACAGCCUUCCAAGUUUACUGUAAAGACCAACAGGGUCUCAGACACCCAGAAAACAAACUUCUUAUGUUUUUAUAAACUCUAUAAAAUUGUAAAUUGGAUCAAACUUUGCAUCCAAAAGCACAUUCUUGGGGAAUAUUUUAUAUGCACAUAAAACAGAGAAAAUGCUAGCAUCGCGAUCUUAACUGCACACUGGAAGCCACUAAAAGUCGGGUGAAUGUAAUCCAUCUGGGACGCGCCUUGAGACCGGAGGCUUGGAGAGCACAAGAGAGCCUCAAGGGAGUCUGACGCCGCCCAGCUCCUGUUCAUCAGCUGGCACCACCGUGUUUCUGUCUCUUGCUCCAAACGAAGACGCGGACAGUCCGAGGACCUCAGCUGUCAACGGCGAACCUGCCGCCAGGCUGGGCAAAGAAAGCGAUGGCCACCAGGGCCUGGCUCUGGCUCCAGGUGCGUGAUAAGUUGCUAAGAGCCCCUUCACUUGUCCUGGCUUCCUGCACAGGCCUUUUCCCCAAGGCCAUGGCCGGGUGGGGGUGGGGCGGGGGUCAGUGGCAAUCCAGGUUUUGCUACAGCCUUUGGGGCUUGUUUGCUCAAGACUGUCCAUUAGGCGUUUAUUAGCCUUCAUUAUGGAGUGCGGCAAGCCUAAUUAGUUCCAGCUGAGCGGGUGGGGGGCCGCAGGGGGAGGGGGAGCUGCAGGCACCCUGUGAGUACAGCUGGCACUUGCCUUCCAGGAAAAACUGCAUCUCCUUGUUAUCUGUCAGCACAGCAAAUUAGGCCCCUCAUUAUCACAUCUGCAAGGUGCAUGGCACACCCAGCGGGGGAGGGGGGGCCCUGGGGAUGUGGGGAGAGGGGCUGGCUUCCAGGGAGGCCUCUGGCCGCACCUGGCUCUUGCGCCUGAUAGGAUCUUGCCUACCAGGACCAGGUCAAAUGCCAAGAGGAGGGGCCCUUAGGGAGAGGAGAGAGCCCCUCCCCCACACUCUUGCCUCCACCCGUGAGCCCCCCCUGAUGGAGACCCGUGGUCUGGGGGAUUCUUGGACAAGACUUUGACUGCGGACUGUGACAACAUGGAGACAGCGGGGAUUUUCUCCGCGGCUUAUAAAGGUAGAGCGAGUCUCUGUUUUCAAUGUGCCCAAGAGUUGCCUGAGAGAAGCAGUUAGAAUGCAGGCCCUGGGGCCCCACCCCAAAUCCGGCAGACGCCCACGGGCCUCUCCUGGCCGGUGAUCGGUGAUGGAAGACACCACGCUGGGCCGGCGCCCACACCCCGGACUGGAACGCCUGGUUUGAGUCCUGGCUCUGCUUCCAACCCCAGCAUCCUACUAAUGUGCACCCUGGGGGGGUCGCAGUGGUGGCUCAAGCAACUGAACUCCCGCCACCCGCAUCAGAGACCCGCAGGGGGUGCCUGGCUGCUGGCCAGUGUGGGCGUGCGGGGAGCAAACCAGCCUCUCCAAUACAAAUGACGGCCAUGAUGAUGAUGACGGUGAUGAAGAAGAAAAGCAAGUGCAGAAUGAAGCAUUUGAUAAAGAAUUCAUGCACCCAACAGUUCCCACGCAACUCCUACCACAGCAAGGAGCCAUGGGCAGGGGCUGGACGGGGAGGCGGCAGGAUGGUGGCUCUGACAGCUUAGCAGUGGGGUCCCUGGACUGCACACUGGCCCAGGGGGCCCGCAGGUGGACGUAGAGUUUGGAAUCCUGUUUUAGGAGAAGAGAAAGUCUCCCAGGAAUCACAGCAUUCGCACGGGCACUGGCACAGGUCUAGAACUGGUCAACAAGGGAACCCAGGACAGGGACAGAGGGCCAGCAGAAGGUUUUCUUUUUUCUUUCUUUUUUUUAAGAUGUAUGUCUUUAUUCGAAAGUCAGAGCUACAGAGAGAGAGAGCGAACGGCAGAGACAGACAGAUCUUCCAUCUGCUGGUUCACUUCCCAAAUGGUUGCAAUGGCCAGGGCUGGGCCACGGUGAAGCCAGGAGCCAGAAGCUUCUUCCAGGCCCCAAAGAGUUGGAAGAGGCCAGACCGGAAGUGGCGCAGCCAGGACUUGGACUGUGGAGGGUCGGGACAGGGCUGGAAGCGUCUGUGGACAGCUGUUGUGGUUUGCAUGCGUGGGAAGCUGGAGCCGAGCACGAUGGCCUGCUGUGGCCCCGAGAACCGGUUGCAGAAGAGCAGGUGCAGAGACGUGGCUGCAGCCCAGGCGCUGAGUGUUAGGGCUGCGCCCCCUCCCCCGCCCCGCGCACGUGCGUCAUGGGCCUGAGCUCCAGCGGCGCCAGCGCCCUCUGCUGUCUGGAGCCUACUGGGCAUCUGCGCAGAUGGGGAGUGGGCCCAGCAGCCCGCAGGAAGCUCCCCAGACCCGCCGCUCCUCUGGGGGUUCCGAUCACCUGUGAGUGACACGUUGGCAGGCUGUCACUCCGCUGCCUCCUCUCCAUUCCCCAUCACCUCACCAUAGGUUCACUGGGCUGUCUCUCCGCUGGGUCUCCCACUCGGGAACUGGGGACACGCCCACCGCGAUUAGCAUGGGACACAUUAAGAAGCAGCUUUGAGCAGACAGCACAGGGUGUCAGAGGCUUCGUGUGGAAUUCCCUCCAUGAGCCUCUGGCCUGGCUCCUGAGAAGCAAACAGGUAAGAGUGUGGGACACGGGGUCGGCGCUGUGGCGGAGCAGGUAAAGCCACCACCUGCAGUGCUGGCAUCCCAUAUGGGUGCUGGUUCAAGUCCCGGCUGCUCCACUUCCGAUCCAGUUCUCUGCUGUGGCCUGGAAAAGCAGUACAAGAUGGCCCAAGUCUUUGGGCCCCUGCACCCGGGUGGGAGACCCAGAAGAAGCUGCUGGCUCCUGGCUUCCAUCUGGCCCGGCCCUGGCUGUUGCAGCCAUUUGGGGAGUGAACCAGCAGGUGGAUGAUCUCUCUCUCUCUCUCUCUCCUCCUCCUCCUCCUCCUCCUCCUCCUCUUCCUUCUCCUCCUCCCCCCAUCCAUCUGUAACUCUUUCAAAUAAAAUGAAUCUUAAAAAAAAAAAAAAAAAAGAUAGCCACAUCCCAUACCAGAGUGCCUGGGUUCGAGUCCCAGCUCCGCUCCUGACUCCAGGUUCCUACUCAUGCAGGCCCUGGGAAGCAACAGGUGAUGACUCAAGUCAUCAGGUUCCUGCCUCCCGUGUGCGAGAUCCUGACGGAGCUCCUGGCUCCAGCCCAGCCCUGGCUAUUGUGGACAUUUGAGAAGUGCACUAACAGAUGGGAGAUUUUUCUUUCUGUCUCUCCAUCUCCCUUCUGCCUCCCAAGUUAAAAGAUUGAUUGCUUGGUAGUGUGAUAGAGUAAUAUGAAGUCACAGAACCUUGGAUCAAAUUAUACUUCUAAGCCCUUCUUAGUUUGUAACCUGGGGGCGCAUGAGUAUGUUGGCUGAUAUUCCGGAAGUGAAACGCAGUUAAGAUUAAUCCCUGCCUCAUACAGUCGUGAGCAGAGCUAAGACCAGGGUGAGGUAAGUUGCCUCGGGCACAAAAUUGAAGCAAUGCCAAAAAACCUCUUAAAUAAUGUUUUAAUGUAUUUUUAAAGAUCAAAAGUAAUGCAAAAGGAUCUGCAAUGAACAAAAUAGCAAAUGAACACAGCAUCGGUGGUACAGAUUGGCACUUUUUGCCUUAGGAGCCAGUAUGACUCAGCAUGGUCCUGGGAGUGAGUUAAUGAGAAAUUAAAUGAGAUAAUACAAGAGUUGAAAAACAUCUGGAAUCCGUGUGUUAUGGGCCAGGUUGGACCUCAACUAAUAUUCCAGACUCUCGCCUUUCACGUAGAGAAGAGUUCUAAGUAAAGGCCCAAACACGACGUGCAGUGUGAUAAGGCUUAUUACAAAGUGAGAAAAUACCCAGGCACGUGAGGGCUUUACUUAGGGAGAGUGGGCCAGGGAAGGUAAAGGGUAAUUUCCACACCCUGCUCUGCUCGUCCUGAGUUCACGAGGAGGAGAGCCCCAGCUUCCGUUUUACACAGCUUUUCAUGAGCUUAGAAAAAUGGGAGUGUUCACAUGGCCCUGACCCCAAGCCCUCGGGUAAGAGGAAGUACUUCCUGGGGGAGGAAGAGGAAGUACUUUCUGAUCGGCAGGUAGGUGAACAUGGCAACACAGAGCAAGGGAGGUGUGGCUUCCCACUCAUGAACUUAGAUGAUCUGAUUUCACACAUCAUAUGUGUAGUUUGGGGUUUUUUUUAAUGAUAUGCAUUUCCCAUGAACUUUUGGAAGCAACCUCUUGUGUGCAAACACCUGGAACAGGGCGCAUCACAAAAGGGCUCCAUGCAUUUGGAAGGAAGGAGGGGUGGACCGUUUGGUGAAAUGAUUCCAAGGCUUCAGAGGUAUCACAGGCCCCGCGGGCCCCCUCUCUCUUUCCGCCUUCAUAGUGAGGUAGCUAUAUGGACAAGCAUCAGAGGACUGUGUAGGGCAAAGACAAGCAGUCGCAGCUAAAACCCACUCUUAGCCCCAGAUCCUGUCUCUUCCCAACACACCUGCCUGGUCAUUUAGCAUCUCAGAGACUCUGUCAAACCACAGCUGUGAUUGGCAGGACAGAGUCUGAUCUUCGGCGCCGCCUUCCCACUGCCCGAGGCCUGCGGUUUGGAGGAAUCCUGCAAGCGCUGGGCAGACGGCUCGCGGCAGUGGUGCAGCUCACCGUGGAGCCCUUCUUUCUGUGUUCCCACCUGACCCCAGUGGGGGCAUUCUGCCGCAGCCCGGAAAAGCUCCACCGGUCUCUUCUGCCUUGACUCUCACCGGAUGAGCCGUCCACACCAGCUCACCCCCACUACGCAUUUUCUCCAGUGAUCUGCCUUGGCUGUGACAACAGGGCUGCCCCACCCCCAGGCAGGCCACAGCUUCCAGGCUUCCAUUCUUCAAGUCUGUGAAAACCACCCCAGUGUUCACAUCACAGUACCCUGCCUCUUGCUUAAGCUUGCGCACCUGGGGAGAAAUACACAGAUGAAGAAGGAGACCCUCAUCUUUGGGGUCCUCACAGCCUGAUGACGACACGGUCUUUGUGUGACAUUGUCGGUUAGAAGAAGGUAUCCUGGGCUCCAGUGCUGAGGCACAGCAGGUAAAGUCAUCGCCUAUGGCACUGGCAUCCCAUAUGGGCACGGGUUCCAGUCCAGCUCCUUGGCUAAUGGUCUGGGAAAGCAGCAGAAGAUGGUCCAAGUACUCAGGCCGCUGCACCCAUGUGGGAGACCCAGAGGAAGCUCCUGGCUCCUGGUUUCGGCCUGGCCCAGCCCAAGCCAUUGUGGCCAUCUGAGGAGUGAGCCCACGGAUGGAAGCUCUGUCUGCAUCUCUCUCUCUCUCUCUCUCUCUCUGUGACUCUGCCUUUCAAAUGAAUAAAUAAAUAUUUUUAAAAAGAAGAAAGAACACAUGGCCAUGUCUGUUGAAGCCCCCCAGGAGCUGUCUUGAUUUUUAGCUAGGUGCACAUCAAAACGCAGGCGUUGGAUUUGUUCAUGGAGUAAGCAUUUAGCGAGCGCCUACUAUCAGCCAGGCACCGCGCUAAGGCGCUGGGCUGCAGUGCCAAACGAAGGCAGGAAAACAAACAGCGCUGCGCUGAGUGUGAGAGCCGCGGAUGACCACACAGUAUAAACAAUGUAACAGACUACAGCGUCAACCCGACUGCACCAAGGGACGCCUACACGCCGUGUUUCCGGGCGUACCUGGGAGACAUUGCCACAAAACCCUGGU